GAGUUCCAGAAUUGUGCUUAAGGAUUGUUCUUCAUUCCUCUGAUCAGAGCCACUUAGGGAAUUCUUAAAGAAUCUUCAACCUGAGGGAGAAAUCAACUUUCCCCAUUUUUAUGGCAAAGUCUACGAUCUCCUGGUUUCAUGAAGCAACAGGAUUUGAAAAUCUGCACAUCUGGGAGCUGUAAGGAGUUCUUGUAUCUGUAAGUUCUUGUAUCCAGGAGGCUAAAUUCCUAGCACAUACAGAAAAACUUCAUCAAAUCCCACUUAUCUGUAAUUGAUGCUAUUUUGAUCCAGUUUGGGCUCAAGUUAAGU
rnacentral:lncRNA from 1 species